rnacentral:rRNA from 1 species
UACGGGGGGGGGCAAGCGUUGUUCGGAAUUAUCGGUGGCGUAAAGGGCUCGUAGGCGGCCAACUAAGUCAUACGUGAAAUCCCUCGGCUUAACCGGGGAACUGCGUCUGAUACUGGAUGGCUUGAGGUUGGGAGAGGGAUGCGGAAUUCCAGGUGUAGCGGUGAAAUGCGUAGAUAUCUGGAGGAACACCGGUGGCGAAGGCGGCAUCCUGGACCAACACUGACGCUGAGGAGCGAAAGCCAGGGGAGCAAACGGG